UGUUUCGGCUAGGGGGCCAUCCCGGCUUACCAACCCGAUGCAAACUGCGAAUACCGGAGAAUGUUAUCACGGGAGACACACGGCGGGUGCUAACGUCCGUCGUGAAGAGGGAAACAACCCAGACCGCCAGCUAAGGUCCCAAAGUCAUGGUUAAGUGGGAAACGAUGUGGGAAGGCCCAGACAGCCAGGAUGUUGGCUUAGAAGCAGCCAUCAUUUAAAGAAAGCGUAAUAGCUCACUGGUCGAGUCGGCCUGCGCGGAAGAUGUAACGGGGCUAAACCAUGCACCGAAGCUGCGGCAGCGACACUCAGGUGUUGUUGGGUAGGGGAGCGUUCUGUAAGCCUGUGAAGGUGGCCUGUGAGGGUUGCUGGAGGUAUCAGAAGUGCGAAUGCUGACAUAAGUAACGAUAAAGCGGGUGAAAAGCCCGCUCGCCGGAAGACCAAGGGUUCCUGUCCAACGUUAAUCGGGGCAGGGUGAGUCGACCCCUAAGGCGAGGCCGAAAGGCGUAGUCGAUGGGAAACGGGUUAAUAUUCCCGUACUUGGUGUUACUGCGAAGGGGGGACGGAGAAGGCUAUGUUGGCCGGGCGACGGUUGUCCCGGUUUAAGCGUGUAGGUGUGUGUUCCAGGUAAAUCCGGUU
rnacentral:rRNA from 2 species